GACGAACGCUGGCGGCGUGCCUAACACAUGCAAGUCGAACGAGAAUCUUUGAACAGAUCUUUUCGGAGUGACGUUCAAAGAGGAAAGUGGCGGACGGGCGAGUAACGCGUGAGUAACCUGCCCAUAAGAGGGGGAUAAUCCAUGGAAACGUGGACUAAUACCGCAUAUUGUAGUUAAGUUGCAUGACUUGAUUAUGAAAGAUUUAUCGCUUAUGGAUGGACUCGCGUCAGAUUAGAUAGUUGGUGAGGUAACGGCUCACCAAGUCAACGAUCUGUAGCCGAACUGAGAGGUUGAUCGGCCGCAUUGGGACUGAGACACGGCCCAGACUCCUACGGGAGGCAGCAGUGGGGAAUAUUGCGCAAUGGGGGCAACCCUGACGCAGCAACGCCGCGUGCAGGAAGAAGGUCUUCGGAUUGUAAACUGUUGUCGCAAGGGAAGAAGACAGUGACGGUACCUUGUGAGGAAGUCACGGCUAACUACGUGCCAGCAGCCGCGGUAAUACGUAGGUGACAAGCGUUGUCCGGAUUUACUGGGUGUAAGGGGCGCGUAGGCGGACUGUCAAGUCAGUCGUGAAAUACCGGGGCUUAACCCCGGGGCUGCGAUUGAAACUGACAGCCUUGAGUAUCGGAGAGGAAAGCGGAAUUCCUAGUGUAGCGGUGAAAUGCGUAGAUAUUAGGAGGAACACCAGUGGCGAAGGCGGCUUUCUGGACGACAACUGACGCUGAGGCGCGAAAGUGUGGGGAGCAAACAGGAUUAGAUACCCUGGUAGUCCACACCGUAAACGAUGAAUACUAGGUGUGGGAGGACUGACCCCUUCUGUGCCGCAGUUAACACAAUAAGUAUCCCACCUGGGGAGUACGACCGCAAGGUUGAAACUCAAAGGAAUUGACGGGGGCCCGCACAAGCAGUGGAGUAUGUGGUUUAAUUCGAUGAUACGCGAGGAACCUUACCCGGGCUUAAAUUGCAACCGAAUAUGGCGGAAACGCUAUAGCUAGCAAUAGCGGUUGUGAAGGUGCUGCAUGGUUGUCGUCAGCUCGUGCCGUGAGGUGUCGGCUUAAGUGCCAUAACGAGCGCAACCCUUGCCGAUAGUUACUAACAGGUUAUGCUGAGGACUCUGUCGGGACUGCCAUCGUAAGAUGUGAGGAAGGUGGGGAUGACGUCAAAUCAGCACGGCCCUUACGUCCGGGGCUACACACGUGUUACAAUGGGGGGGUACAGAGGGCUGCUACCACGCAAGUGGAUGCCAAUCCCAAAAACCUCUCUCAGUUCGGAUUGAAGUCUGCAACCCGACUUCAUGAAGCUGGAUUCGCUAGUAAUCGCGCAUCAGCCACGGCGCGGUGAAUACGUUCCCGGGCCU
rnacentral:rRNA from 1 species